ACAUCGGUGGUUCAGUGGUUGAAUGCUCGCCUGCUACGCGGGCGGCCCGGGUUCGAUUCCCGGCCGAUGCA
rnacentral:tRNA from 1 species